rnacentral:rRNA from 1 species
AUGGACCUCUCCCUCAACCCCUUCUCCUCCGGCACGCGCCUCCGGGACAUGAUACGCGCGAUACGCGCCUCCAAGACGGCCGCCGAGGAGCGCGCGGUGGUGCGGCGCGAGUGCGCGGCCAUCAGGGCGGCCAUCAGCGAGAACGACCAGGACUACCGCCACCGCAACAUGGCCAAGCUCAUGUUCAUCCACAUGCUCGGCUACCCCACGCAUUUCGGCCAGAUGGAGUGCCUCAAGCUCAUCGCCGCCUCGGGCUUCCCCGAGAAGCGCAUCGGCUACCUCGGCCUCACGCUGCUGCUCGACGAGCGGCAGGAGGUCCUCAUGCUCGUCACCAACUCCCUCAAGCAAGAUCUUAACCACUCCAACCAGUUCAUUGUGGGCCUUGCGCUCUGUGCCCUGGGGAACAUUUGUUCUGCCGAAAUGGCGCGUGACCUGGCGCCCGAGGUGGAGAGGCUGUUGCAAACUAGGGACGCAAACACAAAGAAGAAGGCUGCCUUGUGCUCUAUACGGAUUGUAAGAAAAGUUCCAGAUUUGGCAGAGAACUUCAUGGGUUCUGCUGCAUCAUUACUCAAGGAAAAACAUCACGGGGUUCUGAUAUCUGUUGUCCAGCUCUGUACAGAACUCUGUAAAGCAAGCAGAGAAGCAUUGGAGUACUUGAGAAAGCACUCCGUCGAAGGGUUGGUCCGGAUACUGAGAGACGUGUCCAACAGUUCGUAUGCUCCUGAAUAUGACAUUGCUGGCAUCACAGAUCCAUUCUUGCACAUCCGAGUUCUUAGACUCAUGCGGACAUUGGGUCAAGGGGAUGCAGACUGCAGCGAGCAUGUGAAUGAUAUUCUUGCCCAGGUUGCAACGAAAACUGAGUCAAACAAAAAUGCUGGAAACGCUAUUUUAUAUGAAUGUGUUGAGACCAUAAUGGGCAUUGAAGCUACUAGUGGUCUGCGUGUGCUGGCAAUUAAUAUUUUGGGUAGAUUCUUGUCCAACCGUGAUAACAAUAUAAGAUACGUUGCUCUGAAUAUGCUAAUGAAGGCCAUGGCAGUGGACACACUAGCAGUGCAGAGGCACAGGGUAACAAUAUUGGAGUGUGUCAAGGAUGCAGAUGUCUCUAUUCGCAAAAGGGCCCUUGAACUUGUUUACCUACUCGUCAAUGACACGAAUGUAAAGCCUUUGACUAAGGAGCUUGUUGAUUACCUACAAGUAAGUGAUGAUGACUUCAAGGAAGACCUCACAGCAAAAAUAUGCUCAAUAGUUGAAAAGUUUUCUCAAGAUAAGCUAUGGUACUUGGACCAGAUGUUCAAGGUUUUAACACUGACUGGAAACUUUGUGAAGGAUGAUGUAUGGCAUUCUCUUAUAGUUCUGAUAAGCAAUGCGUCUGAACUUCAAGGAUACUCGGUCAGAUCAUUAUACAAAGCAUUGCAAGCAUGUGGUACACAGGAAAGCUUAGUUAGGGUAGCUGUUUGGUGCAUUGGUGAAUAUGGUGAGAUGCUGGUCAACAAUAUUAGUAUGCUGGAUGUGGAGGAACCAAUCACGGUAACAGAAUCUGAUGCUGUGGAUGCUCUAGAGCUAGCUCUUAAGCGCUACUCUGUGGAUGUUACAACACGGGCUAUGUGUCUCGUUGCUCUUUUGAAGCUUUCCUCACGAUUUCCGCCAACUUCAAAGAGGAUACAAGUAAUUGUUGCGCAGAAUAAAGGGAAUACUGUGCUUGAGCUGCAGCAAAGAUCAAUCGAAUUUAAUUCCAUUAUACAAAGGCAUCAGUCUAUAAAAUCAUCUUUGCUUGAGCGAAUGCCUGUAUUAGAUGAAGCUAAUUAUUUAUUGAAGAGAGCCGCUUCUUCACAAGCAACUGUUUCAUUAACUAAGUCUGCUCCAUCCGCUGCUUCGGGAGGCUCACUUAAGGUUCCAAAUGGUGCAGUGAAACCACCACCAGCUCCGUUGGCUGACUUACUUGAUCUAAGUUCGGAUGAUGCUCCCGUGACUACUUCUGCCCCUAGUACAGCACCUAAUGAUUUCCUACAGGAUCUUUUGGGCAUCGGCUUGAUUGAUACAUCUACCGCAGGUGGAGCGCCGUCUGCAAGUACAGAUAUUCUGAUGGAUCUUCUAUCUAUUGGUUCAUAUCCUGUACAAAAUGGUCCGCCGGCAACAUCAAACAUAACCUCUCCUGACCAAGCAGUGACUAAACAUGCUCCUGGAACACCUCAAGUUAUCGAUCUUCUCGAUGGUUUGUCCGCAAGUACACCACUUCCUGAUGUGAAUGCAGCUUACCCAUCAAUCACAGCUUUCCAGAGUGCAACUUUGAAGAUCACCUUCAAUUUUAAAAAGCAGCCUGGAAAGCCUCAAGAGACUACAGUGCAUGCCAGCUUUACAAAUUUGACAUCUGCUACAUUGACCAAUUUCAUGUUUCAGGCAGCUGUACCAAAGUUCAUCCAGUUGCGCUUGGACCCAGCAAGCAGCAGCACCCUUCCGGCCAGUGGAAAUGGUUCAGUUACGCAAAGUCUCAGUGUCACUAAUAAUCAACAUGGGCAGAAACCACUUGCGAUGCGGAUCCGGAUUUCGUACAAAGUGAACGGCGAGGACAGGCUGGAACAAGGGCAAAUCAGCAAUUUCCCCGCGGGGUUGUAG